GACGAACGCUGGCGGCGUGCCUAAUACAUGCAAGUCGAACGCUUUUUCUUUCACCGGAGCUUGCUCCACCGAAAGAAAAAGAGUGGCGAACGGGUGAGUAACACGUGGGCAACCUGCCCAUCAGAAGGGGAUAACACUUGGAAACAGGUGCUAAUACCGUAUAACACUAUUUUUCGCAUGGAAGAAAGUUGAAAGGCGCUUUUGCGUCACUGAUGGAUGGACCCGCGGUGCAUUAGCUAGUUGGUGAGGUAACGGCUCACCAAGGCAACGGUGCAUAGCCGAACUGAGAGGGUGAUCGGCCACACUGGGACUGAGACACGGCCCAGACUCCUACGGGAGGCAGCAGUAGGGAAUCUUCGGCAAUGGACGAAAGUCUGACCGAGCAACGCCGCGUGAGUGAAGAAGGUUUUCGGAUCGUAAAACUCUGUUGUUAGAGAAGAACAAGGAUGAGAGUAAAAUGUUCACCCCUUGACGGUAUCUAACCAGAAAGCCACGGCUAACUACGUGCCAGCAGCCGCAGUAA
rnacentral:rRNA from 1 species